rnacentral:rRNA from 1 species
UACGUAGGGGGCAAGCGUUGUCCGGAAUCAUUGGCGUAAAGCGCACGUAGGCGGCUUUCUAAGUCAGGGGUGAAAUCCUGGAGCUCAACUCCAGAACUGCCUUUGAUACUGGAGAGCUUGAGUCCGGGAGAGGUGAGUGGAACUCCGAGUGUAGAGGUGAAAUUCGUAGAUAUUCGGAAGAACACCAGUGGCGAAGGCGGCUCACUGGCCCGGUACUGACGCUGAGGUGCGAAAGCGUGGGGAGCAAACAGG